rnacentral:rRNA from 1 species
AUUGAACGCUGGCGGCAUGCCUUACACAUGCAAGUCGAACGGUAACGCGGGGCAACCUGGCGACGAGUGGCGAACGGGUGAGUAAUGUAUCGGAACGUGCCCAGUUGUGGGGGAUAACUGCUCGAAAGAGCAGCUAAUACCGCAUACGACAUGAGGGUGAAAGCGGGGGAUCGCAAGACCUCGCGCAAUUGGAGCUGCCGAUAUCAGAUUAGGUAGUUGGUGGGGUAAAGGCUCACCAAGCCGACGACCUGUAGCUGGUCUGAGAGGACGACCAGCCACAAUGGGACUGAGACACGGCCCAGACUCCUACGGGAGGCAGCAGUGGGGAAUUUUGGACAAUGGACGCAAGUCUGAUCCAGCCAUGCCGCGUGCGGGAAGAAGGCCUUCGGGUUGUAAACCGCUUUUGUCAGGGAAGAAAAGGCUCCUUCUAAUAUAGGGGGCUCAUGACGGUACCUGAAGAAUAAGCACCGGCUAACUACGUGCCAGCCGCCGCCGUAA